GUUGGUCUUAACCCAAGACGACCAGAAAAGGAGGAUGCCAAGAAUCUGGAAACACCAGGCCCUGACUUGGGUAAUGGGGAGGGUAGAUAGAUCCUCCGAGAAGGAGCAAGUGUGCUGCAGAUCUGUUCCACACAAGAACCAAAGAAACUGAAGCCCAGAGUCAUCAGAAGGAGGCUGUACGAGGAACGCUAUUUAAGCCUGCACUCUCCUGUUGAGUCAAUU
rnacentral:lncRNA from 1 species